AACCAUUCUCACCUGCGGCUAGACCUGCGGAAGGAUCAUUACCGAGUUUACAACUCCCAAACCCCUGUGAACAUACCAAUUGUUGCCUCGGCGGAUCAGCCCGCUCCCGGUAAAACGGGACGGCCCGCCAGAGGACCCCUAAACUCUGUUUCUAUAUGUAACUUCUGAGUAAAACCAUAAAUAAAUCAAAACUUUUAGCAAUGGAUCU
rnacentral:misc_RNA from 1 species